rnacentral:rRNA from 1 species
AUUGAACGCUGGCGGAAUGCUUUACACAUGCAAGUCGAACGGCAGCACGGGGGCAACCCGGGGGGCGAGGGGAGAACGGGGGAGAAAUACAUCGGAACGUGCCCAGUGGGGGGGGAAAACGUAGAGAAAGAAACGCAAAUACCGCAAACGAUCUAGGUAAGAAAGGGGGGGACCGUAAGCCCUCGCGGGAUUGGAGGGGGCUAUGGCAGAUUAGGUAGUUGGGGGGGUAAAGGCUCACCAAGACUGCGAUCUGUAGCUGGUCUGAGAGGACGACCAGCCACACUGGGACUGAGACACGGCCCAGACUCCUACGGGAGGCAGCAGUGGGGAAUUUUGGACAAUGGGCGCAAGCCUGAUCCAGCCAUUCCGCGUGCAGGAUGAAGGCCUUCGGGUUGUAAACUGCUUUUGUACGGAACGAAAAGGCUCUUUCUAAUACAGAGGGCUCAUGACGGUACCGUAAGAAUAAGCACCGGCUAACUACGUGCCAGCCGCCGCGGUAAAAC